rnacentral:rRNA from 1 species
UAAUACGAAGGAUCCAAGCGUUAUCCGGAUUUAUUGGGUUUAAAGGGUGCGUAGGCGGACUAUUAAGUCAGUGGUGAAAGCCUGCAGCUUAACUGCAGAACUGCCAUUGAUACUGAUGGUCUUGAGUACAUUUGAGGUGGGCGGAAUGUGUCAUGUAGUGGUGAAAUACUUAGAUAUGACACAGAACUCCGAUUGCGAAGGCAGCUCACUAAACUGUAACUGACGCUGAGGCACGAAAGCGUGGGGAUCAAACAGGAUUAGAUACCCUGGUAGUCCACGCCCUAAACGAUGAUUACUCGAUGUGUGCGAUACACUGUACGCGUCUGAGCGAAAGCAUUAAGUAAUCCACCUGGGGAGUACGGCCGCAAGGCUG